GUGUGUAUGCCAGUGUCUGAAUGCCAGUGUAUGUGUGUGUGUAUGCUGGUGUAUGAAUGCCAGUGUAUGUGUGUGUAUGCUGGUGUAUGAAUGCCAGUGUAUGUGUGUGUAUGCCAGUGUAUGUGUGUGUGUAUGCUGGUGUAUGAAUGCCAGUGUAUGUGUGUGUAUGCCAGUGUCUGAAUGCCAGUGUAUGUGUGUCUGAAUGCCAGUGUGUGUAUGCCAGUGUAUGUGUGUGCCA